ACUUCAAAGGGAAGCCCUUUUAGUGAAGCAAGAAUUGAGCUUUGUCUUGCAACAGGAGGCCCCUGAUAGGAACAACCAACUUCUGGAAUGGCCCGAACAAGAGAAUAUUCAUGUUUCACCUCGGCGCAUGGACUCCGGAUUCAAAGUUUUACAGGAGAUGGCCCAUCUGUAUGAAACUAUCGGGAAUGACAUCGUUCAUAACAUGCCUAGGACUGAUGAUCCACAAAGUCUCAGGAAGCGACUAAUGGUCCAGAUGCUGAUGGUCAGGGAGAAUGAAGCAAAGGAUAACAUUCCAGAUCAAGUUAGAGCAGCGUUGAGAUUUAUUGGUGGCUAAGGAGGACUGCUGCAUCGAUAAAUACCUAAAAAUAUUGUCAUGUUUAGUUGCUUGCUAGGUAAUAAUCUGUUUGAAUG